GACGAACGCUGGCGGCGUGCUUAACACAUGCAAGUCGAACGGAGAGGCCUGCUUUCCCUUGUGGAUUGCGGGUACUCGAGUGGCGAACGGGUGAGUAACACGUGAGUGAUCUGCCCCCAACUUGGGUAUAAGCCUGGGAAACUGGGUCUAAUUCCCGAUAGGACUGCAGGGUGGUGCCUGUGGUGGAAAACGAUUUUCUAGUGGUUGGGGAUGAGCUCGCGGCCUAUCAGCUUGUUGGUGGGGUAAUGGCCUACCAAGGCGGCGACGGGUAGCCGGCCUGAGAGGGUGGACGGCCACAUUGGGACUGAGAUACGGCCCAGACUGCUACGGGAGGCAGCAGUGGGGAAUAUUGCACAAUGGGCGGAAGCCUGAUGCAGCGACGCCGCGUGGGGGAUGACGGCCUUCGGGUUGUAAACUCCUUUCGACCGCGAGGAAGCCACCUGGUUGGAAGGGUGGUGACGGUAGUGGUAGAAGAAGCACCGGCUAACUACGUG
rnacentral:rRNA from 1 species